rnacentral:lncRNA from 1 species
AUGUCAUUUGUUAUGCUUAGCUGUCCCUACACUGAAGGCUUUUGUGCUCUGUGGAAUGUUGUUCUGUGGAGACAAAUGAAUACACCUGGAAGACAAUUGCCCAUUGUGUGCAGUGCUGCUCAUCGGGCACAGCACAGCCGCCGCUGCCUCCCCACUCCCUUCUCAAAACCCCCAGCUUUACGCAGGAAAUCCAUUGCCGACCUGCUGCUGGAGCCUGCUGCAAGGACCUCUCCCGGCUGGCGCUUUUGCUCAGGCUCUGAGAUCAGGGACACGACAGCACAGGAAAUAUGGGUGUUAACAGCCUGAUGUAAGGUGCUGGUGAUAGAUCACCAAGACACCUGGAGGAGGGUGGAGGCUGACUUGGACUGCAGUGCCUGCGCAUCUCACUGAUGGGGUGACAUUUUCUGUCUUUUUUUGUAUCCACCUGACUAGGUUUUGGUGCACAGUGAGUGUAAUGUAGAAGCCUUCCUUCUUCCAUCCUCACCAUCCAGAGCUCAGUAACAAACUUUCUACAAGAAAAACAGAGUACCUAACGUCUUCCUCUGUGAUUCCCAGCCUUUACUCUUGCAUGCUUCUGAGUGGGGGAAGCCACUGAGAAGGCAGUGAACCACUUCUUUUCAGUGUAUUGCUGUGACAAACCAGAAUGUCCUCUGCUCUGUCAAUUAAAUCAGUAUAACAAAUAAUUGUUGUGGGUUUGUGCUUUUUAUUUUCUUCUUUACAAACUUGCAUAAGCUUAUAUAGACCACACUUGUAUUAGAGAUGCCACAUGUAAUGUAUGUGCCUGUUGCUAGGCUCAUUUGAAAUAGUACAUCCAUUUCUGAUCUGCAUAGUGUAUGCAUCCAUUUUCUGCUCACUAUUAUCCCGAUAUUAUUAAGCUGCUCAUUCACAGCCCUUUAAGAACAGAGCACCUCAUGCCUGCAUUUUCUUUCCCAUGUGUCUGAAUUGCUUUCUAGUUUAGAUUUGCUGUAUCUAUGAUGAACUGAUUUUAUGAAAAUUCCAUUCUUUCACCCUAUAAAGAACUGGUUUUCAAUAGAAAAGCUGUGAGCACUGGAGUCCCACUCCAAAAGAGUUCAGCUCACUUGACUUUGGGGUCUUUAGAGCAGGAAUGAUUCCUGUCACCCUGCUAGAACUAAAAGGGAAGCAGUUCAUGUGCAAACAGAUUUCCAUCAUUACUCUGUGAAGAAUCCCACUGGGAGAAUAAAGAGUAGCCAUAGGAGAAAAUUUUUGCA